rnacentral:lncRNA from 1 species
AGUUCCUCUCAGCCAUCCACAACGCGGAAGUCAACAGUAUUUGGAAAGGCGAUUUGCAUUGCCAGAAUGUCUGGAUGAAUGAAUGAGUCAGUCAUCUGCACGGCAUCAAUGGAAAAGGGGAAGCAAUGAGGAACAAGAGAAGAGUAGCAGUGAGUGAAACUGAAAUCCAGCUUGAGAUACCCGGAUGACAGGUUGAC